rnacentral:rRNA from 1 species
AUUGAACGCUGGCGGCAUGCCUUACACAUGCAAGUCGAACGGCAGCACGGGUGCUUGCCCCUGGUGGCGAGUGGCGAACGGGUGAGUAAUACAUCGGAACAUGUCCUGUAGUGGGGGAUAGCCCGGCGAAAGACGGAUUACUACCGCAUACGAUCUACGGAUGAAAGCGGGGGACCUUCGGGCCUCGCGCUAUAGGGUUGGCCGAUGGCUGAUUAGCUCGUUGGUGGGGUAAAGGCCUACCAAGGCGACACUCAGUAGCCGGUCUGGGAGGACGACCAGCCACAUGGAAACUGGAACACGGCCCAGACUCCUACGGAGGGCAGCGUUGGGAAAUUUUGGACAAGGGGCGAAAGCCGAAGGCGGCAAGGCCGCGGGUGUAAAGAGGGCCUUCGGUUUGAAAAGCACUUUUGUCCGGAAAAAAAUCCUUGGCCGUAAUACGGCCGGGGAUGACGGUACCGAAAGAAUAAGCACCGGCUAACUACGUG